AUGAUCCAAGGUCAAAACCAGUGGCUAUUGGCAGGGGCUGCUUUUCACUCAUCCCCACUUUGACUACUUUUAUUGUCUUUUGAUGCUUUAAUCAAAGUAUUUCUGCUGGCUGGCAUGCAUUUCCAAGCUGGCUACUAGGGACAUUUAGUUUAGGCAACGUGCCUUAUCUGGUUUUUUUUUUUUUUUUUUUUCCUACGUCAGCAAGUGGGGAAAAUCCCACCCAUACCAAAUAUUUAGAAUACCCUAUCUUUUUAUUUGCAUUGAGCAUCCUUUGUUUGGGACUCAGAAGAGCUGUGUGAAUCAGGAAGAGGAAGAGCCGAGACAGACAGACUGGGACUGUACAGGGAACUGAGGAAACUCAAAAGAAGAACGUGUCCUGCGUUGUGUCCUGAUUUGGCUUUGGGGCAAAUCAACUUUGUGUUGGUCCACUGGUGUAAAAGGCUCUUCACAUGAUUCUAAACAAUGCGGCCAGCUAACCAGCUGACAAGCAGAAGUAAACAGCUGCUUCCUGAAAAGGGGGGAGAGAGGAUCAGAGAAAAGGGACAUGAGAUCGACAUGUUGAAGCAUCCUGAGUCAGCAGGUGAGGUGACAAAGUUUGCUCCUGUCCCCAGAGCCACAUGAGACUCCAGAAGUGCUGACCUGGGCUUACCACUGGCUGAGCACCCAUGCAGCUGGGGGACAGAGGUUGGAUGCACUUUGCAGCCACAGAGAACCCACGGUGUCCCUGCUGACGCAGGGCCCUUUUAGACAAGAAUCAUAGGAAACAGGCAGCCGGGAAGCAACAAGUACAGCUUGCAGCAGUGUCAGCCCCAGCUGAACUGCUGCUUAUGCUGCCAGCAGCCAGCAGACCCCACUGGAGUCUCGCAGGUGCCCCUGUGGGCACGAGGGUGGCAGGCGAUGACAGCCCCAUUAGCCAGCCUCCGGGGUGCUGCUGCUGGCAGCGGACUGUGCAGUGCUACACCAUGCUGGGGGCAGCCUGCAGGGAGCUGGGUGCUCUCUGCAGUCCUGUGAAAGCUCACAGAUGUGAGCAAAGACUUCCUUCCAGCACAGGUAUUCCCAGAAAUGGUCUGUAUUCCAGCUCACAUGCACUUUGACUCCUUAAUCAUAAAACCAACACUUCUUGUUUAAUGUUUUCUAUCAAAAAAAGAGUGGCUCACCUAUGCAGAUGCUAGUGUUGCUUUCCCCUAUUUUCUGAAACAUUUCAAGCUUUUGAUUUUGAAGGAAGAGGAAAAUGUUUUUUGGCUCAGAGAAACUAUGUUGUUUGCUCUACAGGCAAACUUAAAUAGCUCCUGAGUAGGAGCACAGGACA